CGAGUAGAGUGGCAAACGGGUGAGUAACACGUGGGUGACCUGCCUUCGAGUGGGGGAUAACGUCUCGAAAGGGACGCUAAUACCGCAUGACAUCCUGUCUUUGGAUAGGCGGUGAUUAAAGCCGGGACCGUAAGGCCUGGCGCUUGAAGAGGGGCCCGCGCCCGAUUAGCUAGUUGGUGAGGUAAUGGCUCACCAAGGCUUCGAUCGGUAGCCGGCCUAAGAGGGCGGACGGCCACACUGGGACUGAGACACGGCCCAGACUCCUACGGGAGGCAGCAGUGGGGAAUUGUUCGCAAUGGGCGCAAGCCUGACGACGCAACGCCGCGUGGAGGAUGAAGAUCUUCGGGUCGUAAACUCCUGUCGAGCGGGACGAAUGUCCCGCGACCUAAUACGUCGCGGGAGUGACGGUACCGCGAGAGGAAGCCC
rnacentral:rRNA from 1 species